rnacentral:rRNA from 1 species
UACGUAGGGUGCGAGCGUUAUCCGGAAUUAUUGGGCGUAAAGGGCUCGUAGGCGGUUUGUCGCGUCGGGAGUGAAAACCAGGUGCUUAACACCUGGCUUGCUUUCGAUACGGGCAGACUAGAGGCAUGCAGGGGAGAACGGAAUUCCUGGUGUAGCGGUGAAAUGCGCAGAUAUCAGGAGGAACACCGGUGGCGAAGGCGGUUCUCUGGGCAUGUCCUGACGCUGAGGAGCGAAAGUGUGGGGAGCGAACAGG